CGUCAGAUAACUCAGUGGUCUAGAGCAGUCGCCCGGCAAGCGAAAGACCCGGGUUCGAUUCCCGGUCGACUA
rnacentral:tRNA from 1 species